UCAGGCUUUGAAUAGUCCCAUAGGAGAUUUCACAGAUGGAGAUUCCAGUGUUACUUAGAAGCCCUGCUAGUACUGCCCUUAGGUUGGUACCUGGAUAUUUCAUGAGCCUACACUUUCUGACACAAGUUCCUCAAAUUCUCAUGAUUCCCAGCUCACAUCUGGAGAUCUCAAUACAAAGCAGCAGGGAGGAGAGAUCAGUCAAGUAGGAGAUGAGAAGAUGACUGUAGUAGCACCUGUAUCCCAUCAGAUGAAGAGCAAAUGUGAUUGACAGUAGAAACCUCAUGAGGGAAUGGAGAGGAAAAGCUUGAGGAUGCCUUUCCCCUGGUAUUUUGCCUCAGUUUCCAGUGGAAACUCAGAUUUUGUGUGUUAGAAAAAGCAUAUGUUCAGUACAGCUUAGCAGCUGUAGUAAAACAUUUCUUCCACUGAACAUCCCAUUUAUUUAGAGCCCAGGCCUGAUUUUGUUUUCUUGGAAAAAAAAAAACAUUACCUUUUUCUUCAGACAAAGAGACUAAUACCUUUGAUAUUGAUAUGAUAUCUGUGAAUGUCCUUCUCUUUUUGUUCGUUAGUACUAUCGCUUCCUCUUUGAGAUAAAGGGACUGCUAGAUACCAUAAUGAAGAUUCUCCAGAUUCUUUCUUUCA